rnacentral:lncRNA from 1 species
GUUUGUCUUUGAGCUUCACUCCCAGGCUCAGGUCUCCAGUUUCUUGUUUAAUGUCAUAAUUAGAAGAAAGUCUUGAGAAGAUUUUUGUCCUGACUGAACAGAUUUUUGACCAGCCAACUAGCAAGCCAUGCAUUGUCCUCAUCCUUACACUCCCUGCAAUAUGGCUCCUUGUGUGGGACAAGGCUGUGACCUGGAUAGCUUCCAAACUGGCUGGAAGAAAGUGUGUGACUUCAAUGUGAGUAUAUUUUGCACAUGAAGAACCACAGAUUCUUCACCUGAGAUUCACAUCUAACAAGUGGGGUCUUCUUUCCUCCAGUAGAGCAGGUCACCAUCACUUUGCAGAUUGCUUGAAUGCUUGGAAGAUCACCUGAGUGCCUGCACCAAUCCUGUGUCCAUCUUAUGUUGAAGGGAGCAUCGAGGCUCUUUCCAUGGUUAAGAUGAUUGAGCAAAAAGGAUCCAUUCACAGCUCCGGCAACAUCUCUGGAAUAACUGUGUGAAGGAACUCUGCCAAGAGCUGGAAUUGCAGUUAACAUAGAAGCUUGAGGCAUAGAUAGCUGUAUCAUCUGGUUAAUAACUGCCAUUUGAAGGAGUCUGCAACACAGUGUGACCAAUUGCCUCAGUGUGUCCAGGUCUAUCCUAGUUUCCUGAGGCACAUACUUCCCAUCUUACAAGUGGAAAUAGAGCAAAAACCAUAUACACAGGCUCUUGGGAUUUGAAUGUGAAAUGAUGCUCAAAUGUUGGACUACUUAUCCUCACUUUGGGGAGCAGCUUGGAGCACAGAUAUCUGUACCAUCUGCUUAGAAACUUCCAUUUGAAGAAGUUUGCAAUAUGGUGUGAUCAAGUUGCUUCGGAGGUAUGACGGGGAACGUGCUCUAUGAAACAGAACCCUAGAAACACUUACUGAAUUUGAACUUUGUGUUGCUUUCUGAUAUCCGUGCUUGGGAUUCUGAAUGACUCCAGUUGGAUUUGAUUGGACCCAGGGUAGCGAGAGAAAUGAGGGGACAAGGCAUACACAUAGUGCAUAAGCAGGUCAGCCAACCUCAUAAACAGGCACCUCACUAGAAACAUCUGCACAGCCUUUUAGUGAAGAGUUGGGUAUCUAGAGCUAUCAUGAUUGAGUGGGAAGGAGAUCACUGCCUCCCUCAGGAGGCCUUCCUGAGAUUUGUGAGAUGGCAAGAAUGAGAUUGGGAAGUGGGGAGACAGAAGGCCUCGUCCUGUCCUGAGCAUCGAGUCCCUGCUGGCUCUCAGAGUCUGCUCACUCUUGCAAGGUCACACACUUUUAUUUAUGUUACAGUCAGGCUGAAAGAGACAUGGAGCACUCUGGGGGUAUUAACCAGGAAGAAAUACAAUUCAGAUUUAAGCAGAGGAAAGAGAAGCCUCAGCCAGCUGCAUGGGAACAGGAAGGACAUUACAUGCUACUUUAGCUGGUCUCUUUCCUGCUGGGGCAAGUCAAUGCGUAAAUGAUAAAAUUUAUAGUGCAUGGAGGGUUGAGAGCCAGACUCGCAUCAUUUGAGUCUGAAUUCCGGUCCUGAAUAGAGUGCUUAUUGUCUCCCUUGGUCCCCCUCUUCCAAUGGAACCAGUCUCUGCCGGGUAGCAUCACAGAGUCUUCUCACAGAGUUGGAGGUAUUAGCAAAGCAGGGCUUGGUUUGGAGAGUGAGACAUUGACACUGAUCUUUAGUUAAAAUGGUCUCUUCUCAGGAAGACUCAUGACAUCAUACAUUUCUAGAACAGGACAGAUCUUCAAAAACAUGAACUGCAAGUUUCCUAUCCAUAGUGGAAGGUGGAAACGGAAGGAAGAAGGCAUGGUCCGGUCUUUCAGGAAGACUCUGCAGGAAGGAUACCACGGACAAGGGCUGAAAAUCUAAAUCCAACUCUGAAAACAUCACGUGACAGACACUGCCUUACCAUGUACACACCCAGAUGAUCCAACUUUCAUGUCAAUGACAGUGUUCAUCUGAAAAAGACCCAGCUUGACCCCUUACCUAAGUCACCUGAGAGAUGGGAGCCAAAUCCACUUCCUGUUCAGGUGUCAUAGAAAGGAGAGCCCAUUCUGUCCCUAGACUCAGUGCUGCCAAGACCCUGAGGGCUUGAGAAAAAGAAUUCUAAUGAAGUUUUUGUUUUGCUUUGUUUUGUUUUUCAAACAAUAGUGACUUUGUUGGCACAAUCAAGAAGCCCUCAAAGCAUGUGAGUGUGAGGGAUGGUGGUGAGUAAUGUGGUUUUAAAAUGAAGUCUUGAGUAUUGGCCCUUGCUUUUGAAGCACUUCUCUAUCAACUGCCUCAGAGGAUAAAAUGAAAUAGUUGGGCAAAGUGUUCAGUACUGUCUUUCUACUAUUUGUUUAAAAUGCAUUGAUGCUAUCUCAUCACUUCUGUUUCUAGAAUAAAUCAAAGCCAGCAUUUUGAUAGCUUUUUAAAGAUGUGUACGCAUGUGCAUAUACGUGUGUGUGUGUGUGUGUGUGUGUGUGUGUGUGUGUUAAGUGUGCAUGUGAAGGGGACAGAGGUCAUUGUUGAAUUCCUCUAUUGCUUUCUGCCUUGUUGUCAAAAGCAAGGUCUCUCACUAAGCCUGCAGCUUACUCUCAGGACAAGAGCAGUGGGCCAUCGGGAUCUAGAAACACUUCUGUCUUUGCCUCCCCAGUGUUAGGGGACAAGCAUGUACCAUUUCACCCAGCCUUUUAUAUUUGCCGAGGAUCUCACCAUUGGUCUUCAUGUUUGUGUGGCAAUCGCUUUAAUGAGAUGGCUCCAGGGAAAGGCACUGUAUCUCCUGCCAAGCCUGGCAACUUAAGUUUAAUCUCUGAGACCUACAGUAUGGAGAGUUGUAAGUUGAGCUCUGUCUUCUACAUAUGCACCAGGAUGCCUGUGUGUCCCCAAAUAAAAUAAAUAGAUGUUUUA